GACUUGGUGAAAAUUUUCUCCUUCUCAUCUCUCUCACCUCUCCGCAAACAAGCUAUCUCGGCAAAUUAUCUCUUGACCAAAACACUUGGAAUUUUUGUAGCUAUAAGUUGGAAGUAGUAUCUGUCUGGGAUGUUUGAGAAAACGGUGAGCAUACCGGGUUUUAAGAGGGGAAACCAUGGCGUUUUUGGGUGGUUUGAAGGUCAAAUAGUGGCUGGUUUGAGUAUUAGAUCUUACAAUAGUUGCGUAUUUAACGGGUCAGUGUUUCUCUGACGUUGCAAUUUGAACUUUGAACCGGAUAACAAAGAGGAGUAGGUCUCUUUUCAAUUUGGGUUGACACUUCUGCUUAAUCACUCCCAUGAUCUUAAUCAAAACAACCGGUAAUCUUUCUUUGGUCAGUAUCUACAUUUGUUUGGAUAGUAUCUGCUGAAUCUUUUCACAAACAAACUAUCCUUGCUUUCCCAUUGAAGGUAUGUAAUUGCAUGGUAAUUUUUUUUAUUUUGUGAGUAAUUAGAUAAUGUUAUUGGCAUUAGUCCUAUUUGUUUGAGAUUGAAAUGGAUGUAGUAAUAGUUUAUGAGUUGAGUACACUUGUUGUUUAGCUUUAUUCCUCUCGGUUGUCUACUUGAUUCAUGUGACUAUUUUGUUAUGGAUUUGUUGUCUAUAACCCGUUCGAUAAAAUGUCAAUUCCCCCUGUUUUUCCUUUUUUUUCUGAAUCUCCUUUAAUGUUAAUCCGUCAUGGGGAUUAUCAAAUGUCAGCUUGAUCAUUGUGAUUUUGUACUGCAUUAUGGAUUCUUUUUUAAAAAUUUAUUUUUGUUAUUGUGGAAAUAUUUUGUGAAUGAAGUAUUGGUUGGAUGGUGUUGUUUCAGAGGGAAGGUGGUAAUAAUGUAGUAGCUGCUGCACCACCUCCGCUUUCACCUUCACCGCAAGGGUCCAAUGAUAGUCUGAUUUCUCGCGGUAAUAGCAAGAAGCAGUGGAGGAAUAAGGAAUUUGCUAUGACCAGCAACACCGACACAAAGAUUUUGCUUGGAUGAGAAGCAUCAUUGGAGGGUGAAAUUGAGUCUAAAGUGAAUCGUACAUGAAACCUGAUAAUUGUAAGAGAUGAUAACAAACAAGGAUUGAAAUUAGGAAUUUUGCGAAAAUGCGAGCACAGGAGUUGGUCUGAAGGGUUUUCUUAUGUUAUUAGGCGUCCCUGUUUACAAGGCUGUGCAAAUGCCAAGGGAAGUUUGUGAUUACCUUUCCAAGAGCAUAUCACGCUGGAUUUAGUCAUGGCUUCAACUGUGGUGAGGCAAUAAAUUUUGCAACUGCUGAUUGGUAUCCUUUUGGAGCCAAAGCUAGCCAUCAUUAUGCCCGCCUUGGAAAAAUGCCGGUUAUUCCUUUUGAAGAGCUGCUUUGCAAAGAAGCAAUGCUGGUUUCAGAGUAUGAAAUUCAGGAGAAUGCCGAUAUGAAUAUCACGCUCUGUUUACAAGGCUGUGCAAAUGCCAAGGGAAGUUUGUGAUUACCUUUCCAAGAGCAUAUCACGCUGGAUUUAGUCAUGGCUUCAACUGUGGUGAGGCAGUAAAUUUUGCAACUGCUGAUUGGUAUCCUUUUGGAGCCAAAGCUAGCCAUCAUUAUGUCCGCCUUGGAAAAAUGCCGGUUAUUCCUUUUGAAGAGCUGCUUUGCAAAGAAGCAAUGCUGGUUUCAGAGUAUGAAAUUCAGGAGAAUGCCGAUUUGGUCCCUCUUUGUUGUUUGAAGAUUUCAUUUGCUUGCCUAUUGAGACCGCAUCAGUAUGCCUAGUGGAGAAUAAAGAAAUCAAGACCAUCAGUGAAUAUACAUCCAAAAUCUCAAGGAACCAUCUUCUGCAUCCUUUGCAGACGAGAAUGUUGUGUUGGACACUUGAUGUGCAACUGCUAUACUGAUCCCAUUUGCCUCUUCCAUUGUACCCCCCAAAAAAACUUUAUUUUAUUUAUUGGUCUGAAAUUAUACUAUACUAACUAUGAUGGUGUAUUUAAGGACUCUUACCGUAGAACAGGCAGCAUAGUGGAGCAAGCCAUAUCAUCGAUUAGAACUGUAUUCUCAUUUGUAGCAGAGGAUCUUUUAGUUGAAAAAUACGUUGAUGUGCUUGAUAAGUCGGUGCCAUUAGGGAUAAAGAUUGAAUUUGCCAAGGGAACAGGGAUUGGAGUUAUCUAUUUGGUCAUGUAUGCCACAUGUGCAUUGGCUUUCUGGUAUGGUGAUCUAAUGAUCCCAACAAACUUUGUGCACAGGUGGAACCAGCUGAAGAUUGAUGGAGUAUUCAUGAUUA